CAAAGACCGCGAGGUGGAGGCAAAUCCCUAAAAAGACCAUCCCAGUUCGGAUCGCAGGCUGCAACCCGCCUGCGUGAAGUUGGAAUCGCUAGUAAUCGCGGAUCAGCAUGCCGCGGUGAAUACGUUCCCGGGCCUUGUACACACCGCCCGUCACACCAUGAGAGUCGGGAACACCCGAAGUCCGUAGCCUAACAGCAAUGGGGCGCGGCCGAAGGUGGGUUCGAUAAUUGGGGUGAAGUCGUAACAAGGUAAC
rnacentral:rRNA from 1 species